rnacentral:misc_RNA from 1 species
AACGAGGCCGACCUGCGGCUGAGUUACCUGCGGAAGGAUCAUUAUAGAGUUUUCUAAACUCCCAACCCAUGUGAACUUACCUUUUGUUGCCUCGGCAGAAGUUAUAGGUCUUCUUAUAGCUGCUGCCGGUGGACCAUUAAACUCUUGUUAUUUUAUGUAAUCUGAGCGUCUUAUUUUAAUAAGUCAAAACUUUCAGCAAUGGAUCU